UCAGGACGAACGCUGGCGGCGUGCUUAACACAUGCAAGUCGAGCGGUAAGGCCCUUCGGGGUACACGAGCGGCGAACGGGUGAGUAACACGUGGGUGAUCUGCCUCGCACUUCGGGAUAAGCCUGGGAAACUGGGUCUAAUACCGGAUAUGACCUGCUGUCGCAUGGCGGUGGGUGGAAAGAUUUAUCGGUGCGAGAUGGGCCCGCGGCCUAUCAGCUUGUUGGUGGGGUAAUGGCCUACCAAGGCGACGACGGGUAGCCGGCCUGAGAGGGCGACCGGCCACACUGGGACUGAGACACGGCCCAGACUCCUACGGGAGGCAGCAGUGGGGAAUAUUGCACAAUGGGCGAAAGCCUGAUGCAGCGACGCCGCGUGAGGGAUGACGGCCUUCGGGUUGUAAACCUCUUUCGACAGGGACGAAGCGCAAGUGACGGUACCUGUAGAAGAAGCACCGGCCAACUACGUGCCAGCAGCCGCGGUAAUACGUAGGGUGCGAGCGUUGUCCGA
rnacentral:rRNA from 1 species